rnacentral:rRNA from 1 species
GACGAACGCUGGCGGCGUGCUUAACACAUGCGAGUCGAACGGAAAGGCCUCUUUCGGGGGGUACUCGAGUGGCGAACGGGUGAGUAACACGUGAGUAACCUGCCCUUGACUUUGGGAUAACUUCAGGAAACUGGGGCUAAUACCGGAUAGGAGCUCCUGCUGCAUGGCGGGGGUUGGAAAGUUUCGGCGGUUGGGGAUGGACUCGCGGCUUAUCAGCUUGUUGGUGGGGUAGUGGCUUACCAAGGCUUUGACGGGUAGCCGGCCUGAGAGGGUGACCGGCCACAUUGGGACUGAGAUACGGCCCAGACUCCUACGGGAGGCAGCAGUGGGGAAUAUUGCACAAUGGGUGGAAGCCUGAUGCAGCAACGCCGUGUGCGGGAUGACGGCCUUCGGGUUGUAAACCGCUUUCGCUCAUGACGAAGCUUUGUGUGACGGUAGUGGGUAAAGAAGCACCGGCUAACUACGUG